AUUGAACGCUGGCGGCAGGCCUAACACAUGCAAGUCGAACGAGUGGCGGACGGGUGAGUAAUGUCUGGGAAACUGCCUGAUGGAGGGGGAUAACUAAUUGAAACGGUAGCUAAUACCGCAUACCAUCAGAUGUGCCCAGAUGGGAUUAGCUAGUUGGUGGGGUAACGGCUCACCAGGGCGACGAUCCCUAGCUGGUCUGAGAGGAUGACCAGCCGCGCUGGAGCUGAGAAAAGGUCCAGGCUCCUACGGGAGGCGACAAUAGUGAAUAUUGCACAAUGGGCGCAGGCCUGAUGCAGCCAUGCCGCGUGUAUGAAGAAGGCCUUGGGGUUGUAAAGUACUUUCAGAGGGGAGGCGUUACCCACAGAAGAAGCACCGGCUAUCACCGUGCCAGCAGCCGCGGUAUUAC
rnacentral:rRNA from 1 species